rnacentral:rRNA from 1 species
GACGAACGCUGGCGGCGUGCUUAACACAUGCAAGUCGAACGGAAAGGCCCUGCUUUUGUGGGGUGCUCGAGUGGCGAACGGGUGAGUAACACGUGAGUAACCUGCCCUUGACUUUGGGAUAACUUCAGGAAACUGGGGCUAAUACCGGAUAGGAGCUCCUGCUGCAUGGUGGGGGUUGGAAAGUUUCGGCGGUUGGGGAUGGACUCGCGGCUUAUCAGCUUGUUGGUGGGGUAGUGGCUUACCAAGGCUUUGACGGGUAGCCGGACUGAGAGGGUGACCGGCCACAUUGGGACUGAGAUACGGCCCAGACUCCUACGGGAGGCAGCAGUGGGGAAUAUUGCACAAUGGGCGGAAGCCUGAUGCAGCAACGCCGCGUGCGGGAUGACGGCCUUCGGGUUGUAAAACGCUUUCGCCUGUGACGAAGCGUGAGUGACGGUAAUGGGUAAAGAAGCACCGGCUAACUACGUG